rnacentral:rRNA from 1 species
CUCCUUUGACGUUAGCGGCGGACGGGUGAGUAACACGUGGGUAACCUACCUAUAAGACUUGGAUAACUUCGGGAAACCGGAGCUAAUACCGGAUAAUAUUUCGAACCGCAUGGUUCGAUAGUGAAAGAUGGUUUUGCUAUCACUUAUAGAUGGACCCGCGCCGUAUUAGCUAGUUUGUAAGGUAACGGCUUACCAAGGCGACGAUACGUAGCCGACCUGAGAGGGUGAUCGGCCACACUGGAACUUAGACACGGUCCAGACUCCUACGGGAGGCAGCACC